ACGCCUAAUGCUAACAACUGGACAGCUAGAUAAGAUAACUACAAAAGUUCACAAUUUCACAUCCAAAAUUCAAUCAAUCCCAACGUGCAAAACACCAUUCAGAAACUAAUCGAAAAACCAUAAGACUACCUUGUUCGUUCUUUAGCAAUCUUUGACAACAAAUACAAGAUAGCUAAUACAGUAAUCCUUUCUCUAUUCUCACUGGCCAUAAUAAAGCACAAUGAAUUAACAAUUGGCAGAAGGG
rnacentral:misc_RNA from 1 species